UACCCUAUUAUUAGGUAUAAAAGAUUGGUAGUAGUUAGAUAUAUGAAAUCUAAAGAUUAUGGCGGUAUCUUAAGCUUUUUAGAGGAAUUUAUUCUGUAAUUGAUAAAACACAGAGAUCUUACUUAGUUUGGUUAAGCAGUUUGUAUAUCGCUAUCAUUUAAUAAUAUUGGAUGAUGAUUAUUGAGAUAGACUAUUGUUUAAAAUGUUAGGUCAAAAUGUAGCAUAAAAUUAAGGUUGAAAUAAGUUACAUUAAUUUAUAUAGGUGAAAUUGAAACAGUUGUUAGGAUUUAAAAGUAAAUUGGAAUUAUAAUGCUUAGUUGAAUAAAGCUCUAUGAU
rnacentral:rRNA from 1 species